GACGAACCGUGCGAACGUUGUUCGGAAUCACUGGGCUUAAAGGGCGCGUAGGCGGACGACCAAGUCGGGGGUGAAAUCUUUCGGCUCAACCGGAAAAUAGCCUUCGAUACUGGCCGUCUGGAGGGAGGUAGGGGCGUGUGGAACUUCCGGUGGAGCGGUGAAAUGCGUUGAUAUCGGAAGGAACUCCGGUGGCGAAAGCGACACGCUGGAUCUCAUCUGACGCUGAGGCGCGAAAGCCAGGGGAG
rnacentral:rRNA from 1 species